ACGCUCGACACCUACUGGAGGCAGCAGUCGGGAAUAUUGCGCAAUGGAGGAAACUCUGACGCAGUGACGCCGCGUAUAGGAAGAAGGUUUUCGGAUUGUAAACUAUUGUCGUUAGGGAAGAGAAAGGACAGUACCUAAGGAGGAAGCUCCGGCUAACUACGUCGCACAGCCGCGGUAAUCUGAGCGGGCUGGCAAGGC
rnacentral:rRNA from 1 species